GGAGGGGCCAUGGCUCAGAGGUAGAGCCUCCGCUUGGCAUGCAGAAGGCCCCAGGUUCAAUUCCUGGCCUCUCCA